GCCCGCACUCAUUUAAUGGCUGAAAUUAAAAGUUUAAUGGGCUUCAUUAUUCAUUCUAGCUCAAUUAAAUAUUUCCCAUGUAUUUAAAACCUUAAAAAAUAUUAGAUUAAGCUCAAUAAGCUCUUAAAAACCUUUUAUUUUCCAAAUAAUGCAAUAAUUUUUGUAAAAUGUAAUUUUCCUAAAAUGACAAAUUAAUUUAUUUUAUUAAUUUUCCUACCAUUCCAUAAGUCUUCAAAGUGUUCCAAAUUCUUUGCCAUCCAGUGGCAUUUUCAUCAUAGGGCUCCUCACUGCCAUUACAAAACAGUCAUUUAAAGGGAUAAAAAAUAGGUGUCUACAAGAGGGCCCUUAAUUGGCCCCCCUAAUCCUGGUUUAGGGCCAGUUGAAGGCCCUGAACCAUUGACCAGGGCCGGUUCCGGGUUUUGAUUUGGGCUAGUCUUGGUCUGGUCCAAGAACGGGCCUUUGGCUGGGUCUAAAGUGAACUAGUGUUCUUGCUGAAUAGCUCAUGAAUAAGCUUGUUGAAUGCAUGUUCAAGUUCAUUUUUGAAGUUACAUGAGUAAGUAUAAAUAAAAAUUUCAAGUAUUUUAAUAAACAAAUGAACAUUAAUACAGGUGAACUCGAUUGUUUAUGUUUGUGAACAAACUUGUUUUAGGCUUUUCAUGUUUGUUUAGCUACCUGUUUAAUGUUUGUUAGAUAACCAAGUUACCAAUAGAUUUAGGGGAAAAAACUAGAGUAAGAAAUAUUUGUUUGCAAUGUAGAUUUACGG
rnacentral:misc_RNA from 1 species